rnacentral:rRNA from 1 species
UACGUAGGUCCCGAGCGUUGUCCGGAUUUAGUGGGCGUAAAGCGAGCGCAGGUGGUUUAUUAAGUCUGGUGUAAAAGGCAGUGGCUCAACCAUUGUAUGCAUUGGAAACUGGCGAGCUGGAGUGCCGGAGAGGUAAGCGGAAUUCCUAGUGUAGCGGUGAAAUGCGUAGAUAUUAGGAGGAACACCAGUGGCGAAGGCGGCUUACUGGACGGCAACUGACGCUGAGGCUCGAAAGCGUGGGGAGCAAACAGG